rnacentral:rRNA from 1 species
AAGCGGUGGAGCAUGUGGUUUAAUUUCGACGCAACGCGAGAACUUACCUGGUUUGACAUAUAGGUUGUAGGGAACUUGAAAAGGGACCGACCCUUCGGGGAGCCUAGUACAGGUGUUGCAUGGCUGUCGUCAGCUCGUGUCGUGAGAUGUUCGGUUAAGUCCGCUAACGAGCGCAACCCUCGUCGUAUGUUAUAUGUGUCAUACGAGACUGCCGGUAAAAGCCGGAGGAAGGUGAGGAUGAUGUCAAGUCAGCAUGACCUUUAUAUCCAGGGCUACACACACGCUACAAUGGUCUGUACAAUGGGUAGCCAAGCCGCGAGGCGGAGCCAAUCCUGAAAGCAGGCCUCAGUUCAGAUUGCAGUCUGCAACUCGACUGCAUGAAGCCGGAGUUGCUAGUAACCGCAGGUCAGCAAUACUGCGGUGAAUACGUUCCCGGGUCUU